CCUACGGGGGACAGCAGUGAGGAAUAUUGGUCAAUGGACGAGAGUCUGAACCAGCCAAGUAGCGUGAAGGAUGACUGCCCUAUGGGUUGUAAACUUCUUUUAUAAAGGAAUAAAACGCGGCACGUGUGCCUUUUUGCAUGUACUUUAUGAAUAAGGAUCGGCUAACUCCGUGCCAGCAGCCGCGGUAAUACGGAGGAUCCGAGCGUUAUCCGGAUUUAUUGGGUUUAAAGGGAGCGUAGAUGGGUUGUUAAGUCAGUUGUGAAAGUUUGCGGCUCAACCGUAAAAUUGCAAUUGAUACUGGCAGGCUGGAGUACAGGUGAGGUAGGCGGAAUUCGUGGUGUAGCGGUGAAAUGCUUAGAUAUCAGGAAGAACCCCGAUUGCGAAGGCAGCUUACUAAACUGUGACUGACAUUGAUGCUCGAAAGUGUGGGUAUCAAACAGGAUUAGAUACCCUAGUAGUC
rnacentral:rRNA from 1 species